CAGAAAAAGAAAGUUUUGCAAAGUGCAGGGUACAUACUCAAAACAUUACACAUAGACAUAUCAUAGAGUCAAACUGCAGAAAACCAAAGAUAAAGAGACAAUAUAGAGGAAAUCCAGGGAUUGGAGAAUGCAUUCCAUGCAGAAGGACAAAGAUAAGAAUUACAGCAGAUGUCUCAUUAAAAAGACAAACAAACAUGCAAGCGAGAGUGGAAUGAAAUCUCUAAAAUGCUGAAAAAAACCCUGCAUCAGUGAAUUCUGUUUCCAUUGAGAUUAUCCUUCAAAUGUGAAAAAGAAAUACUUUUACAGACAAACAAAAACUGGGAGAAUUCCCAGUCAGCACACUUGCCCUUCAAGAAUGUUAAAAGAAGACUUUCAAGCAGAAGGAAAAUGAUAGCGAUCAGACAUUUGAUUUUACAUAAAAGAAAAGAGAACAUCAGAGAAGGAAUAAACGAAGAUUCUGAGCAAAUUCUGCUAAAUGGGAAAAUACUCUCAUCUCUUCUUGUGGAUAUUAUAAAUGUAAUACAUCAUACCUGCAAGCUGUCUGACGAGUUUACAAACCGAGAUUGG
rnacentral:lncRNA from 1 species